ensembl:lncRNA
CGCAGGGACCCCCGCCCCCUCUACCCCACACCCCCACCCCAGAGCUGGCGCUCUCGCCUGCCGCACAAUCGGAGCUUGUUUGUGGGCGGAGGAGCCGCGCCGGGUGCGGCGGCCCCGCGCCAGCCCACUGAUCCCAUAAAAUAUUAUUUGUGUUUAAAAAUUCCAGUAAUUGGCUAUGCAGCCGCUUUUUCCGAGCCCUGUGCCAAACGCAGUAAAAUCGCAGUCCGGCUGGGGUUAUUUUCAUCAUGCAAAUUCCCAUUUCUGUAAACAGGGUUAAAGCCCCUGGAAGGGGCCGGGCUAGAACCAGAGGGAAAAGCAGAGGGACGGAUGUGUUCUCAGACCCUGGGAGUUGCUCAAACCGGGCCUCCGCUCCUGUGAUCACCCGGCUGAUUAGGGAGUGUUAUUCAGAUAAUUCCCCCAAACGCUUUUCCUUGCAGACCAGUGCCUGGACUCUACUGGUAAAAUCUUUCCUUUCCUUAACCUUCUCCUCUUUCCCCAUCUGAUUAUCUUACACCAUUAAAUCAUGGAAAUAAAAUUAUUAUCGCCUCUUUUAUCACAGGAGCAAACAGAGGCCCAGAGAACGGAAGAGACUUGCCUUAGGUCACACAGCAACUUUGUGCUGGAGCCCAGGCUAGGUUGCCUGACUGCGCAGCCAUUGGCACUGGUGUAGGGCUUGGAAGAGGAAGAUGCCGGAGCGGGUCCCAGUGCAGCUAGGACAGCACAAGGUCCCAGCUCUGGGCUCUGGGAUGCUGUGGACACAAGGAACGUUGGGUGAGAUCCAUCUCCAAACCUGUGUGUGAGACCCCAUCAGCAGAGGACAUUUGUGGCAAGGAGGAGGAGGAGGAGGAAGAGGAGGAGGAGGAGGAGGAAUCAGGAUGUGUGUUCUUGCCUUCUGCCUCCUUUGCUGUCUCUCCAUCUCUGAUCCCCACCCUGGUGUCCCUGUCUCCUCUCUGCCUCUCUCUCUCUCUCUCAAGAUCCCUCUGUCGCUGCCUCUUCUCUCUCCCAGUCCGCUCUGAUCCAAAUGUCCCUUCACGUUUGCUCAGGAACAAGACACUCCUCCAAGUGCCCAGGCAGGAGUCGGUGUUGGGGGCUGGUGGCCUGGCCCAAGUCCUGCGGGGAGCAGGCCCCAUGGUGGGAAGAAUGUUUCUCCCUGCCCCGAUCUCUGGACCCUCCCUCUGUGAGUACAGCCUGAGGACAAAGAUGAUGCUCCACCCCAGCCUCCUACUCCACCCCUCAAGCCUUCCCCUCCUUGUCAUCCAAAGAAAAGCCCACCACUUUGGGGGACCAGCCUCAGAGGAAGCCUCAGUCAGCCUCCCUUGUGAAGAUCCCCAAGGUGGAGCUGAGGCUUCCUCCCAAGGCCAGGCCCCAGGCCUCCCCUAAAGGAUCCAACACCUUCCAGGCCCAGCAACAGCUGACCCCAAUGACAAUUUGGCCUCCGAUUAUUAUCAAAACCCCCUCCAAGAGCUUGCCUCUCAAAGGGCAACAUGCAUCCUCCGCCAAGGAGGCCUCUCGCUCCCCGGGUGCAUGUGACAACCCCUUACCCCACCUUUCUUCAAAAUAAAUAUUUUUGUUAGAUCAGCAAUAGUCUACCUUUUUCUUCUGCCCCGAGAGAGAGAGGAAAGACACAAUCUCAGUCACUUUCAGCUGUACUAUUGCAUUUAAUCUUCACAAUAGCCCUAAAAGACUGAAAAUAUGUCAAAUUUUGUAGAUGAGGAAACUGAAGUUCAGAGGAGUUAAGUUACUUGCCAAGGUGGCAGAGCAAUGAUUUGAUCUCAGAUCUGAGUCUGAAGUUCAUGUCCCCUUCACUGAGCCCUAUAAUAUCCCACAGGCAGAUCAAUGACAACACAGUGGACAAGAGACAGGGCACUUACAAAACCUUGAAUCUAUCACUCAAGGCGCCCAUUAUAUCUGUCAGUUUACUUUUUUUUGUUUUUUUUUUUUUUUUUUUGAGACAGACUAUGGCUCUUGUCACCCAGGCUGGAGUGCAGUGGCACAAUCUCAGCUCACUGCAACCUCCGCCUCCCAUGUUCAAGUGAUUUUCCUGCCUCAGCCUCCCAAGCAGCUGGGAUUACAGGGACCUACCACCACACCUGGCUAAUUUUUGUAUUUUUAGCAUGAGCCACUGCACCCAGACAACUUUCUUUUGAUUGAAGACUUGGGGCCAACUCUCCCCAUGUCUCCACCCUGAGACUUUAUUCUGCCCCCUCUUCCUGUUACUGUGAUGCUCAAGCCAACACUAGCAAAUCCAUACAUACCUCCUGCCCCGAAUUCUCCUGCCCAAGUUAUGUAUCAUGCAAUUUAGAUGGUUUUCUCCCCUAAUAAUUUUUAUCACCUCAUUCAAAAUUUGGUCCAUAACCAAUAUCAAGGCAGAGACUUAAUUUGAAUCCUGUGACUUGUGACACAAUGGAAAAGUUGGGCCUGGCAUGGUGGCUCAUGCCUGUAAACCCAGCACUUUGGGAGGCUGAGAUGGGUGGAUCACCUGAGGUCAAGAGUUUGAGACCAGCCUGGGCAACAUGGUGAAACCCCAUCUCUACUAAAAAUACAAAAAUUAGCUGGGCGUGAUCGUGCAUGCCUGUAAUCCCAGCUACUCAGGAGGCUGAGGCAGGAGAAUCGCUUGAACCUAGGAGGCGGAAGUUUGCAGUGAGCCGAGAUAGCACCAUUGCACUCCAACCUGGGCAACAGAGUGAGACUUGGUGAAAAAGAAGGAAAGAGAGAAAGACAGAAAGGGAAGGAAGGGAAGGAAAGAAAGAAAAAGAAAGAAAGAAAGAAAAUGUGAACACUGACUGGAUAUUUGUGGAUAUUAAAGAUUUAAUUUUUUUUUUUUUUUUUUUUUUUUUGAGACAGAGUCCUGCUCUGUCACUAGACUAGACUGCAGUGGCACCAUCUCAGCUCACUACAAUCUCCACCUACUGGGUUCAAGCGAUUCUCCUGCCUCAGCCUCCCGAGUAGCUGGGAUUAUAGGCACGUACCACCAUGCCCAGCUGAUUUUUGUAUUUUUAGUAGAAAUAGCGUCUCACCAUGUUGACCAGGAUGGUAUCAAUCUCCUGACCUCGUGAUCCACCCGCCUCAGCCUCCCAGAGUGCUGAGAUCACAGGUGUAAGCCACCACGCCCGGCCAAGACUUAAUUUUUUAAUAAUAAACCUUUUUUUAGAAGAGUUUUUGAUUUACAAAAAAAUUGAGAAAAUAGUACAGAGAGUUCCCAUAUACCCCCUGUACCUAGUGUCUUCUAUUAUUAACAUCUUACAUUGGGAUAGUACAUUCAUUAGAAUUAAUAAGCCAAUAUUGAUACAUUACUAUUGUUAUUAUUAUUAUUAUUAAAGUAGAGAUGUGGGAGUCUCACCAUGUUGCCCAGGCUGAUCUUGAAUUCCUGGCCUCAAGUCAUCCUCUGACCUCGGCUUCCCAAAGUGCUGGGAUUAGAGGCACGAGCCACCAUGCCUGGCCUGAUGCAUUAACUAAAACCCCUAGUGAAUUCAUAUUUCCUUAGUUUUUACCUAAUGUUCGUUUCUGAUUCCAGGAUCCCCUCCAGGAUGCCACAUUUAAUUGUCAUGUCUCCUUACGCCCGCCCCCCCUUACUGUGACAGUUUCUUAGACCUCCCUUGUUUUUGACGACCUUGACAGUUUCAAGGAGUACUGAUCAGGUAUUUUGAGGAAUGUUCCUCUCUUGGAAUUUGAUGUUUUUCUCGUGACUAGACGAGGGUUAUAAAAAUGGGGAGGAAGGUCACAGAGAUAAAGCACCAUUUGUAUCACAUUGUAUACAGCAAGUUUUGUGACUGUUACGUUGCCCUUGAUUACCUGGCUGGGGUAGUGCUUCGGCAAGUAACUUAGAUUUCUUCACUGCAAAGUUAGGCUUUCCCACCACCCUUCUCCUACUGUGCUCUUUGGAGGGAAGUCACUGUGCGCAGCCCUCACUGAAGCUGUGGGGACUUACACUCCUCCUCCUUGAGGGCAAAGUAUCUACAUGAAGGAUUUGGAUUUCUUCCGCAUGGGAGAGUUCUCUCUUCUCCUCCAUUUAUUUAUUUAUUCAAUUAUUCAUAUCAGCAUGAACUCAGGGAUACUUAUUUUAUACUUUGGGUAAUAAUCCAAUACUAGUAUAUUUAUUUUUUUCGCUCAGAUUGUUCCAGUUUUGGCCAUUGGGAGCUAUUUCAGUUGGCUCCUGUGUUCCUUUGACAUACCCCCAUCAAUGUGAGAGUUUUGUUUUGGCUUUUUUGUUUUGCUUUGCUUUGUUUUAAGCACUUCCAUGCUUUCUGGAACUAUAGACACUCCAAACUCCUCUUGUAUAUUUUCCCGCCCUAGUCUUGGAAUCAGCCAUUUCUCUAAGGAGCCCUGUUUCCUUUCCUUGGAACCUAGCUCUGGGUGCUAGGUGUGCAGUUACAGACUUAAUUUUUGUAUGUAAUAAAGGUAUUUAAGAUAUUUUUUAAAGUUCUUAUCUUUUCUAGAUGCAUAUAAAAUGUUUAUGGCUGAAAUAAUAUAAUGUCUGUGAUUUGCUUCAAAAUAAUAUAGGGAGAGACAGAAUAUAGAAGAAACAAAGGCUGGGCACAGUGGCUCACACCUGUAAUCCCAGCACUUGGGAAGGCCGAGGUGGGUGGAUCACAAGGUCAGGAGUUCAAGACCAACCUGGUCAACAUGGUGAAACCCCGUCUCUACUAGAAAUACAAAAAAAAAAAAAUUAGCCGGGUGUGGUGCCGCAUGCCUGUAAUCCCACCUACUCAGGAGGCUGAGGCUGGAGAAUCACUUGAACCCAAGAAGCAGAGGUUGCAGUGAGCCAAGAUCGCACCAUUGCGCUCCAGCCUGGGUGACAGAGCAAGACUCUGCCUCAAAAAAAAAAAAGGAAAAAGAAGAAGAAAUAAGACUGGCCAUGAAUUGCUCUAUGUUGAGGCUGGGUGAUGGGAUGUAUAGGGACUGUGUAUACUGUUCUGACUACUUUAGUAUAUGCUUGAAAUUUCUAGAGUAAAAAUGUUAAAAUACUAAAACGAAACUCGGUCCCACUUACCUCCUCUAAAGGUGUUCUUGGUUGCUCACAUGAUCUGGCAACUGCUCCUCACUCCUGCCGAACUCUUUCGUUCUUUCUUGGUCACACUGCCGCACUGAGGUUUCCCAGGCCUCUGCUUGCUGCCAGCCUGAAGACCAGGUAUCUCCUCACAGUGGCACCACCGACCCUCCCCAAGCACCCACUCCGUGCAGGGUGUUAUAACAAGCGUUCAUGAUGCUGAGGCAAAUAGCGCAGGUUUGGUCCCUGCCAGCUAUUAUGGUUA